UUUGUAGAAUGAUGUUCAAUGCAAGUUCCAAGAAUGUUGCAAGACCUCAUCAUAAUAAAAAAUGUACACAUUCCAAGAUCUUGAAUAAUAGGUAAAUGAUUUUUCUUCUAAUUAUUUCUAACCUCCUUAUAUUGGGUCAUUUCAGAAAACAUCCAUACCACCCCCACGGGGGAAAUUGGAAGUUAACCCCCUUCGGAUGUCCUUAUACAUUUACUAUUAUCAGAGACAAUUUUGUCUCCCCUCCCCCUUCGGACGGCAGACAUGUCCUCCGUGGGGGGAGUGUGGAUCUUUUCUGGAACGACCCAUUUCUUUGGACAAUUUUCUUUGUAAGGCGUAAAACAAAUACCCUGUGCUUCCGGUUUCCGACUGACCCUAUUUUUUCUGCCGACCCUAGUAUUUUUUUAACACGAUUGACCGAUUGACUGUGUGACCCUAUUUUCUUCAGGUGGUUGCAGGCUGCUCAUACAGCGUGCCAAAAUGGCAUCUAUUGCACACUAUAAAUUAUUGCCUAAAUUGUUCCAUAGGAAAUACCUAGUUAAUAUUGACUCUACUGCAAAAUCGCCCAGCAAAAAACUGUCAAAACCAUGAAAAAAUGACCUACCGACCCUAAUUUUUUUCACGAUAUGAAACCGGAACCACAGGUAUUUUUUUAAGCCUAAUAUAUUAAUUUAUUUCAUGUUCUCAAUAGUGAGUUUUUUUAAUUUUCUAGAUGUGUGUUGCAAUUUCAAAGAAUGUUUCAGGUUGUUGGUCGAAGAAGUGUCUAUGAUCACAAAAAUGAGCACUGUCAUUGGAAAGUAUAUAAAAGGUUUUAAAAUUUUCCUGUCUUAUCUUACAUGAAGUGUUUUGAAAAUUAUACGAUUGCUUGUGAUCAAUAGUUUCAAAAAAUCCCGGCAGAAUAUUGCGAAAUAUAGCAUGAUCAUGUUUCUUACAACACAAAAUACAACAAAAAUAAUAAACACAAUCUUUUACGCCUAAAUAUUUCUUGUUGUAUUAAUUUCGAAAAUUUCCGUUUUGUGGUUCCUCGUUUACUUGAUUAAUUUUUGUGUCACUGAUCACAAAAUUUUUAUAAUUUUCAAAGAAUAUAAGCAUUUUAUGAGCAAGCCAGGAAUUGACAAACUAUCUGUGUUUUGAAAAAAAAAUUUAAACAGUGAUGAUUUUGAGUUUAUCUGUAUUCUAUCUGAGAACAUAGUUGUUUCUACAUAUUUUCAAAGUUUUUGUCAAAUAUAAAAAAUUGAAAAGUUUGUCAAUGUUUGGCUCCGUUAGAUCAGUUAAACAUUGAGAAGAUUGAGGUGGUUUUUAUUACAAACCAAAGCAGUUGCUUACAAAUAAAAUAUGUGACUUUAUUUCAGGAUUGAGUAUUUUCUUUUUGUCAUCUUUCAUGUUUCGGUAUUAAAUUGGAGUAUGUUUUCAUUGAAGGAUUAAAAGAACAUUGAUGAACAUUUGUCUCAUUGCAAUUUGUGUUUUGAACUUGUCAAAGUGCAUUGUGAAAACAGUAAACUUAUGGUCCAUCUCAAUCUUCUCUUGUUUAAGUGGACUUUCAGUGUUUGUUGAAAGUUUGGAAUGUUCAUCUGAAAAUCACAAUGUUUCAUUAAAUGUUGAUUCUGGAUGUUUUCAAAUAUUGAAUCUUACGAAAAGCAAUUAGUGAUCAAUUGAAGUAUACAAUACUUUUAAAAUUAGCACUGUUAGAACUGCCUCGUUGUUUAAUAGUCCUGUCUUAUUUAUCCCAGCACACUCUUAAUACAUGAGUUUGGUUGUUCCUGGACACAGAUAAAACGGAUUUGUCGAUGAACAAGGCAGUUCUAUACAGUACUGGCUUAUAGAAGGGUUGUGUUCUUCAGUUUUUUUAUUCUUGGCCAAUUUAUACAUUGUGGUUUUCAAUGACUUUGUGAUUUUUAAAAAACUUUCCCAACUUUAAAACAAACAGUUAAGGUCAAAAUAAGCUAGGAUAUUGCCCUUAUUUAAUUACAAAGUGGAACUUAUUUGGAUAUGGAUGAACUCAAGCUCAGCAAACUAUACUUAAUUUGGGGGGUAAUGUGAGUCGGAGAAAAUAAAAGAAAAUCUGAUUCUCAUGCAUGGCAAGGAAAACCACAACCAGACUACAGGAUGAUGUUCUUUGGAAUAUGUUUUGUAUUAUAGGGAAGGAAAAACCAUCAGCAAUGAAAAGUAUAUAUUAAUUUUUUGGUAAAGCAAUCCAAUAAUUGGAAUAUUGAGGCUGAAAAUAAGAUUGAUCGUUCUUUGUCCUAUAUCUUAAUAAAUGCA
rnacentral:lncRNA from 1 species